rnacentral:piRNA from 1 species
GUCUUUUGAGGUGCAUCAAGC